AGAGGCCCGCUGGAGCCGACAUGCGACCGAAAACAGAACCAUGAAAACAGCUUGCCUCAUCAGUGUUAAAAACAAGCCACUGAAGUAGAAACAAGCCACUAUCCCCGAAGACAGGUUCAGUAUGGAAGGGUAUUCCAUCCACCUGUGAUGAUAUGAAACAUCCAGCUUAUGAACCUAUGAAAUUGCCUUAGACCAAGUCACACCGGUUGCUGAGAUCGAUCUCCCUUGAAUGGCAGCAGCUCUAGAGUUUCAGGCCAAGAAAGUUCUUUCCCAAGGGACUGUGCGUAGGUCCUUCUACUACCAAGCCACAGCGCUUUACACGAAUCCCAUCUAUGAAGCUGCUUUAUUCUGAGACAGCCCAUUGGACCAACUGAGCUCAACCCUCCCUGUGCUGACCGGCUGCGGCUCUUCAGGGCUUCCUGUGUCCCUUUGAUGGCAGAAGUCGGGAACUGAACUCUGGACCUUCUGUAUGCAAAGAAAGAACUCUGUCACAUCCCAGUAUCAGCCUUGCUGUAUUGUGAGAACUUAGAAUUUCAACAUCAAUCACUUUGAAAAGGCAUGCCCAGUCAUAGGAGAGCAAUCCUGAGCAAGUCUACUCAGAAUCCUAUUCACAUCUACUCAGUGGGGCUUACUCCUGGGAAAGUAUAUGCGAUGAACACCUGGGAGCAAGAUGGCAGAGCAACCCCCCCCCCAGUGCUUGUUACAGCUGGAAUCUCCCCUCCAGCCAAUGGAAAAAUCCCCUUUGGUCUGAAUAUCUUUGGACAGCCACCAAGAUCUAAUACCGUUGCGUGUCCUCCCCCUCCUUUGACCUUGAGACCCCAACUAUAGGGAAGUAAAGCAGUCGUCAGCACUGGCUGCAGUUACUGCAAGGCACUUGGGCAGGAUCUCCUCAGAGGGCACACUACCUCUCCGCUGCCCAUUUCCUUGGCCCCUCCUUCUGGGUCCAAUCUGAUGGCCAGAGACGAGUAGAAGCAGGUCUCCCUUUCAGCUGCCAGUGCCUGCUUUCUAGUGUUGCCAACCUCCAGGUGGUGGCUGGAAAUCUCUCAGAAUUACAUCUAACCUAUAGACUACAGAGGUCAGCUCCCCUGGAAGAAGUGCCUGCUUUAGAGGGCGAACUUUAUGGCAUUAUAUCUCACUGAGGUUCCUCCCUGCCCGCUCCAGACCCCACCCCCAAAUCUCCAGGAACUGCCCAACCUGGAGCUGGCAACUCUGCAAUGCUUUCUCACUUAGAGACAGCAGGCAAGCCGGCAGUGAUAGGAAAGAGGAACAGGAGCAAAGGUUGGUGGUGGGCUCCCCUGAUGAGGCAGCUGAGACCCCUAUGAGAGCCAUAGUGGCACUGGCUAGAGUGUUGUGGAGAGAUCUCGGCCUAAGUGACCUGACCAGGGUGCUGUGAGAAUAACGUGGGAGGGGCUGUGUAUGCUGCCCUGAUAUCUUUGGAAAUAGGUAGGAUAAAAAUCUAGUUGAUAUCAGAUGCCUGAUGCUGCCCUGUGACUCACUGGUCCUGGUUUUUAUCUUUCAGGAGCAGGGCUCUUUCUGUGCUGGAUUUAGGAUUAUUUAUUUUUUAUGUAAAAUAUUUCUAUGCCAUCUUUUGAGUCAAGGUCUCCAAGGCAGCAAACAUCAAAACAUUUCAGACAUUAAAAAUAACAUUUAAAA